AUACGGAGGGUGCAAGCGUUAUCGGGAUUCAUUGGGUUUAAAGGGUGCGCAGGCGGAAUGAUAAGUCAGUGGUGAAAUCCUACAGCUUAACUGUAGAACUGCCAUUGAUACUGUCAUUCUUGAGUACACUUGAAGUGGGCGGAAUGUAUCAUGUAGCGGUGAAAUGCAUAGAUAUGAUACAGAACUCCGAUAGCGAAGGCAGCUCACUAAAUUGUAACUGACGCUCAGGCACGAAAGCGUGGGGAGCAAACAGGAUUAGAUACCCCUGUAGUCC
rnacentral:rRNA from 1 species